UACGUAGGGGGCUAGCGUUGUCCGGAAUCAUUGGGCGUAAAGCGCGUGUAGGCGGUCCGGUAAGUCCGCUGUGAAAGUCAGGGGCUCAACCCUUGAAAGCCGGCCGAUACUGUCGGACUAGAGUCCGGAAGAGGCAAGUGGAAUUCCCGGUGUAGCGGUGAAAUGCGCAGAUAUCGGGAGGAACACCAAUGGCGAAGGCAGCUUGCUGGGACGGUACUGACGCUGAGGCGCGAAAGCGUGGGGAGCAAACAGG
rnacentral:rRNA from 1 species